GCCAGUGUGGCGUAGUGGUUUGAGCAUUGGACUAUGACUCUGAAGAUCAGGGCUCAAAUCCCUCUCAGGCA